rnacentral:rRNA from 1 species
AGAGUUUGAUCAUGGCUCAGAGCGAACGCUGGCGGCAGGCCUAAUACAUGCAAGUCGAACGGCUCUUCGGAGCAGUGGCGGACGGGUGAGUAACGCGUGGGAACGUGCCCUUUGGUUCGGUACAACACAGGGAAACUUGUGCUAAUACCGAAUGUGCCCUUCGGGGGAAAGAUUUAUCGCCAUUGGAGCGGCCCGCGUUGGAUUAGCUAGUUGGUGGGGUAAAGGCCCACCAAGGCUACGAUCCAUAGCUGGUCUGAGAGGAUGAUCAGCCACACUGGGACUGAGACACGGCCCAGACUCCUACGGGAGGCAGCAGUAGGGAAUCUUGCGCAAUGGGCGAAAGCCUGACGCAGCCAUGCCGCGUGAAUGAUGAAGGUCUUAGGAUUGUAAAAUUCUUUCACCGGGGAAGAUAAUGACGGUACCCGGAGAAGAAGCCCCGGCUAACUUCGUGCCAGCAGCCGCGGUAAUACGAAGGGGGCUAGCGUUGCUCGGAAUUACUGGGCGUAAAGGGCGCGUAGGCGGACAUUUAAGUCAGAGGUGAAAGCCCAGGGCUCAACCUUGGAAUUGCCUUUGAUACUGGAUGUCUUGAGUUCGGGAGAGGUGAGUGGAAUGCCGAGUGUAGAGGUGAAAUUCGUAGAUAUUCGGCGGAACACCAGUGGCGAAGGCGACUCACUGGCCCGAUACUGACGCUGAGGCGCGAAAGCGUGGGGAGCAAACAGGAUUAGAUACCCCGGUAGUCCAA